GUCCACGCCGUAAACGAUGAGUGCUAGGUGCUGCGGGUAUUGACCCCUGCGGUGCCGUAGCUAACGCGUUAAGCACUCCGCCUGGGGAGUACGGCCGCAAGGCUAAAACUCAAAGGAAUUGACGGGGGCCCGCACAAGCGGUGGAGCAUGUGGUUCAAUUCGACGCAACGCGCAGAACCUUACCUGGGUUAAAAUCCACUCGAAGUUGGUAGAGAUACCGAUGUGCCUUUCGGGGAGCGAGUGAGAAGGUGCUGCAUGGCUGUCGU
rnacentral:rRNA from 1 species